ensembl:misc_RNA Metazoa_SRP Metazoan signal recognition particle RNA
GCCGGGCACGGUGGCUCAUGCCUGUAAUCCCAGCACUUUGUGAGGCCGAGGCGGGCAGAUCACCUGAGGUCAGGAGUUCGAGACCAGCCUGGCCAACAUGGUGAAAUCCCGUCUCUACUAAAAAAAUACUACUAAAAAAUUAGGCCAGGCAUGGUGGCUCACGCCUGUCGAGGCCGAGGCGGGCGGAUCACCUGAGGUCAGGAGUUCAAGACCAGCCUGGCCAACAUGGUGAAACCCUGUCUCU